rnacentral:rRNA from 1 species
UUUUGAAAGGGAAACGAUUUAGAAAAGGAAACGAUUGAAGUCAGUCAUGCCGGUGGGAAACAACUUAGGGGAAACUCUGGGUGCACUUCUUCGCUUGGCAGGUCAACGUCGAUUUUGAAUGUCAUAAAAUAAUUGGGGGAAGGUAGCUCCUUCGGGAGUGUUAUAGCCCUUGAUAGAUGUGAUGUUUGGGGUCGAAGGAGAUCCACAACAGGAAUACU